UACGUAGGGUGCAAGCGUUAAUCGGAAUUACUGGGCGUAAAGCGUGCGCAGGCGGUGAGAUAAGUCAGCUGUGAAAGCCCCGGGCUCAACCUGGGAACUGCGGCCGAAACUGUCUCGCUAGAGUACGUCAGAGGGGGGUGGAAUUCCACGUGUAGCAGUGAAAUGCGUAGAGAUGUGGAGGAACACCAAUGGCGAAGGCAGCCCCCUGGGAUGAUACUGACGCUCAUGCACGAAAGCGUGGGGAGCAAACAGGAUUAGAAACCCCUGUAGUCC
rnacentral:rRNA from 1 species